GAGGUGAGUGAAUGAAAUCAUAAAAUUUUAACACUAAAUAUAAAUUUUUACUUAAGGAUAAAAUAGGAAUAGAAAAAAUAGAACAAAGACUAGAAAUGGAAGAGGGAGGUGUAGGAAGCAAGUGGAGAGGUGCAGGGAGCAAUGCCCAAAUGUGGGUGUUGAUCCCUGUACUUUUACAUUUUGGGCCUCCACCUCUCCAUCCCACUUUUAUCCCUU
rnacentral:lncRNA from 1 species